rnacentral:sRNA from 1 species
GAUAGUAGUUUGAUCAGAAUAGUCAUGAAAAACUUAUGAGAUUUCAGCAGAGAUUUUGAAUGAAUUAGAAGUCAUGUAAAUCUCUAAGAAUGUUUUAGGAAAAGGAAAUUGCAAGUAAAUUUUCUGUUAAUGGAUUGUUUCCUAUUUUUAACUUUUUCCAUCUGUACCUUUAAGAGCUAACCUGUAUGAAAGCGUCUUGCACAUAAAUGGCCAAGUAUUUCUUUGUUUACGCUGUUCACUAAAAUACUCUUGAUAAAAUUCUGUCCAUCUUUUAAUUCUCAGCUGAUAUUCUUUUUCAUGAAUUCUCAGGUCAUCUUUCUUGCCUAUCUAGUGCUAGGUAACUUUUCUCUUUUUUUUUCUUUUCUUUUUAAGAGAUAAGGUCUCAGUCUGUCACCCAGACUGGAGUACAUUGGUGCGAUCAUAGCUCACUGAACCUCCAACUCCUGGGCUCAAAAUCCUUCUACCUCAUCUUCCCAAGUAGCUAGGACUACAGGUGUAUACCACCCACACCAGGCCUUUUUUUUUUUUUUUUUUCCUUAGAGAGGGGGACUAGCUGUGUUGCCCAGGAUGUUCUUGAACUUCUGGCCUCAAGCAAGCCUCCCACCUCAGCCUCCCUAGUAGCUAGUCUUUCCUAGUGCUAUAUAAUUUUUCAAUGUCAGUUAUUUCCUUUUUUAUAAAUAGUUUCAUGUAGUAAAGUGGCAUUAUACUCUGGAUUUCUUGAAGGCAGAAAUAGACAAAUUUGUUGAACUGGAUGAUCAGACAUUUAUUCUAGAAGAAUAUUUCUUGGUUUACUUUCACUGCACCCAUAUGUACUAAGAAAUUUGAGUAUAAAUUAAUAAGUAUCAUUUGAAAUGUGCAUGUCACUCAAAAGUAAAUGGGUAAAGUGGCUGUAUUUUCUCCUUCAUUACAGAUAAACACUGCAACAACUGUAGCUGACUUAAAGUCAAUAAUAAAUGAAUGCUAUAACUACCUUGAGUUAAUUGGAUGUCUCAGACUUAUAACGACAUUAAGUGAUAAAUAUAUGUUAGUAAAAGACAUACUUGUCUACCAUGUAAUUCAGAGAGUCCACGCACCCUUUGAAAGUUUCAAGCAGGGUCUGAAAACCCUUGGUGUUUUGGAGAAAAUUCAGGCUUAUCCAGAAGCAUUUUGUAGCAUCCUGUGUCAUAAACCUGAGAGUCUUUCUGCAAAAAUCCUUAGUGAGCUUUUUACAGUACACACAUUACCUGAUGUAAAAGCUUUGGGGUUUUGGAACAGUUACUUACAGGCUGUUGAAGAUGGUAAAUCUACAACAACAAUGGAAGACAUCCUUAUUUUUGCAACUGGUUGCAGUUCCAUUCCUCCAGCUGGAUUUAAACCCACUCCUUCAAUUGAGUGUCUGCAUGUGGAUUUUCCUGUUGGAAACAAGUGUAAUAACUGUUUAGCAAUUCCCAUCACCAAUACAUAUAAAGAGUUUCAAGAGAAUAUGGACUUCACCAUAAGAAACACUCUAAGACUAGGAAAGGAAGAAAGUUCUCAUUACAUUGGACAUUAAAAUGUUUCCUUGAACAAAGAGAAGCUUCUUUAAAAGCUGCUAUUGAUAAUUCUCUUUUAUUUCACUAACCUUUUCAUCAUCACUUUGAACAAACUAGUUAGCUUCUUGACCUAAUAAAAUUUAUGAUAUGAACAUAAAGGAAUAUUUUAGCCACUUAGGCUAAAAAAAAUUUUUUUUUGUUGAAGCAUACUAGUCAAAAUAGGUGAUAAUUUCUCAUUUUCUUGAUAUACAUACUUCAUAAACCUCAAUAUAAAUACUCUCAAAAUGGUUGUAUGGAUUUUAUUUAGGUAUGGUAGCAUGGUUAAUAAAAGUAAAAACUGUUUUACUCACAUUUUUUGUAAAUUAGGAUUACAUAUAGAAUGCCACAGUUUUUCUAGGUUUAUUCAAUUUUCAAAUUAUUCCUCAUUUUAUUUUAAAGCAUUAAAUAGAAAAGCUAAUUGGUUAAAUUUUGUUAUAUAAAUCAGAGGCGUAUAUUCUGGGAUUUGUGUUACUAUGCAUACUUUUCUAGCAUGUCACCAAAUUAGUUGUUUAAAAUGUUUUUAGAUUACUGAUUUAUAUUAAGAUGACCCACACUGCAAUUAGAUUAUGCCUAGUGGGAAGUAUUAUAUAAAAAGCAGAAUUAAGCUGGGCACAUGGUGCCUGUAAUCUCAGUUAUAAGGGAGGCUGAGGUAGGAGAAUCGAGAUGCUCAGCCAGCCUGGCAAUGUAGUGAAGACUCCAUCUCAAAAAAAAAAAAGCGAAUUGCACAAAUUAUCCGGAAUCUAUGGACAUUCCAUGAGCUUAAACGCUUUUGAGGUGGAUAACAUUUAGUUGAAAAUACCUAAGAAAGUGUGUCUUCUUUAAAGCCUUGGCUUUAAUCAUGGGAAAUUUUUGUUGUUGUUGUUGUUGUUGUUUGUAUCCUAUGUUUGGUAUUCUGUAUGUCUGAUCCAUAAUCAUUUUAGGUAUUUGAAUGAUCUCUGUGGAUUGGUAGGUUUGGCCAUUUGACCGUUAUUUAUUAUCAAGAUGGUUGUAUGCUAAGGUAAGUUGACGCCAUAGCAUUAUACAGUUAUCUUCAUUGCUCUUGAUUGUUACAUAAGCAAUGUAUAAAUAAAGUAAAAAGGAUAGAAUGAAAAACCCAUUCUAAUGUCACCACUCAGAGAUAGGUACCGUGUUUCUGUGUAUCCUUCUAUAAACUCUUUACUUGUUUCCUGUAUUUUUUAACUUUAGUAAUGCUACUAAAAGACAAUACCUAAAAGUAACUGUACUAACAAUGUGCUAACAGUGUGAAAAUAUAUAGUCCCAUAGUCAUGUCCCCAUAUUUAUACUCCCACAAAAGAAAAAAUUGGAAAACAAAGUCUGAUCUCCUUAACCUAUUAUCAUAUUUAAAUGAUAUAAUGAUUCAGUUUUCCAUGAAAGUAAAUCAUUAUGAUAGGUAAAUCAUUAUGGGAAGUAAAAUGUUUUAACCAUAUUUUUCUUAAUACACAAAGCAGGUGUCAGCUGUUGUCGUAUUCUCACCCUUCUUAAGAAAAAUCAUUAAAUUAUUGAUAUUUUUUAAGAAAAGUAACAGAAUAGAUUUGAAAGAGAUAAUAUAUCUCUUAAUGCCAAAGGAAAACUAAAACAUAAUUCUAGUGUACUUUUCUUUGUUCCCUCAUGUCUUUUUCAAUCUGUACACUAACAUACCUAGCAAAUUAGUUUUACUUUAACUUGAAAUAUUUAAGAACAUUAAACAAGACAUUUCUUUG